GUUUACAUAUUUUGAAAUAGAGGUUAAUAUUUCGUAAUGUAUUUAGUGGAAAAGUAUUUUUAAAUAACGGUAUUAUUUGAUUUACGCUUUCAUAAGAUUAAUUAAGAGAUUAAAAACGAUCUUCUCGAGAAAUUAUUGAACAAACGUAUCUUUUUCCUAGAUCUUCGUAUUUACUUCGGUGUUAUGUAUGAUACUUUGUAGAAAAAGGUUAUAUAGUGCCAUUUAAUAAGAAGAAGAAGUUACUAGCAAGGUUAGGAUUGGAAGUUCAUUCAAUUCAUCAACAACACACUUCUACAUCUUCUACAUCUUCAAGUUUUUGAAAAAUGAGACUAGUAAAGUCUGAUCAAGUGUAUUCAAAUAAGACAGAAAAUUUUAUAAGCCAUGAGCAAUAUUUUAAAUCAGAUAAGUAUAAGGACAAUGGAAAGAAUGGAAACACGACUUUGAUGGAGGAAAGGAAACCUGCUUGAGAGAUUGUUUUUCGAUGGAAAGAUUAUUGAGGGUUGUUUUCCAAACAGUAUCCUUGACGAACUAUUAGAAUCUCAUGAUCAAGCCAUACGAUACAAUGAAUGUAAUCUAAAUGUUAUCAAAAAAGCUGCGUGACAACCUUCUUCUAUAUAGUAUCAAUGGACGACAAGCUGCUUCCAAACUUUUCUUCAAGCGAUUGGUGUAAAUAUAUAAUAGUUGAAGCAGAGCUUUAUAUGCAAGAAUUCUUUACCUGAGCCUGUUACAUGGACUGUAAGACCGCUUUACAAAGUUUUUACUGAAAAGUAAAUUUUUAUAUAAAGUAUUUUUUACUCACAAUUUUAGUAAGGCUUUAUUUUCUUUAACAUAUGAUUCGUUUUAUCAGGAACUAUUUAAUUUUAUUUUAACUUUUUUUCUUUAGUUCAUUUAUAACAUUUUUUUAAUAUUAAGUCACUAAAAUCAUGGAGAUAUAGCGAAAUAGAUAGAAAUACAGAUAGAAAAUGGAGGAGUAAAUUUAUAAAGUAUAUGUAAGUAACCCUCACAUUUUAUUAAAUUUAUUAAAUUGUAUGCAACAGUUCUUUAGAAAAUGCAUCAUGAAGUUCGCAAAUUUAGCGUUAGUGGGAUGUCAUUUGUCAAACUUAUCAUACCUUAUCAUUUUCUAUUUUGUACUGCUAUUAUUUUUUUGCAUAUUUGGAAUUCGAAAGUGUGUAUUUAUUAUUUAUAAUUUCCAAUCGUUUUUUAUUAUAAUUACAAUACGAACCGAAAUUAUAAUUAUAAUAAAUUGCAGUGUUUGAAUUAUACCUUUUCAGGUAAUUUUCUAUAAUAAAUUUAUUAAUAUGAUUGAUAAAGCAAAUCGAAAAGAUUAUUUAGAAAUAUAUUAUUUUAUUUAUAUAACUCAUAUAAUUAGUCUAAUGCUAGAUGCAGAUUAAAAAAUUAAUAUAGAAGAAAAGGAGGAAACAUGAAAAUCAGUGAGUAUGAUAGAGAAAUAGAGAAUACUACAUAUAUGUUUACGUUUACAGAUUGAUUUGGAGAAGUAGAAAUGAAGGAAGUACCGAUGAAAGAGUAUGAACAAGAAAUAGCCUUUAAGAAUAUCAACAAUCUCUCACCCAUUCGAGAGUUUUACUAUGAUGAAAAUAUAUUCAUGAUAGAAAGAACUGGAUUUAUUGGAAAAUUCUUGAUCGAGAAAUCAUUGAGAACAGAUCCUGAUACAAAUCACAUUUAUCUUUUAAUACUUCCAAAAAAAGAGGAAAAUGCUUUAACACAGUGAACUGAUUGAAAAUUUACUUGACUUGGCUUUAUUUCAUCUGAAAUGACCGUCUAAUAUAGCCGAAAUUUGUAAAGUGUCGAAACUAAAGAUGCAAUCUUCGUUUCUUACAUAACAAAUUAUAUGUCACACAGUAAUACAUAGUAUACACAUAUUAUACAUAGUAAACAUAGUUUACACAGUGAACAUAAUAGUACAUGAGUUAUUUAUUGUAUUUAAGAAUGAAUUUUAAUUACUAGUGAAACGCAACACGUAAUAAUGACUUAAAGAAGAAAUUAAGAUAAAAAGAAGAAAAGAAAGAAAAAUAAAAAUAAUUUACAAAUAGAAUAAUAAUAAUAAUAAUAAUAAUUUGAAUUGAAUCUGUGUAUAUCCAAAAUUUUCAAAAUGGUGUAUAUUCGAUCUUAAAUUCUAUUAUUUUAAAAAUUAUUUUGAGAUUGAAUAAUUUUUAAAUCGAAU